rnacentral:rRNA from 1 species
CAACUCUAGCCCAAACCCUCCCCCACUAUAUUACUUAAAACACAAUAAUUAAAUCAUUUACCUACUAUAAAAGUAUGGGCGAUAGAAAUUAUACUUAGGCGCAAUAGAUACAGUACCGCAAGGGAAAGAUAAAACCAACAAAGCAUAAAAAAGCAAAGACAAACCCUUUUACCUUCUGCAUAAUGAACUAACUAGAAACAACUUUGUAUAGAGAACUUUAACGAUGUACCCCGAAACCAAACGAGCUACCCAAAGAUAGCUAAAAGAGCACACCCAUCUAUGUGGCAAAAUAGUGGGAAAAUCUAUGGGUAGAGGCGACAAACCUACCGAGCUUGGUGAUAGCUGGUUAUCCAAGACAGAAUCUUAGUUCAACCUUAAAUUUACUUACAGAACCGCACAAUCCACUCGUAAAUUUAAUCGUUAGUCUAAAGAGGGACAGCUCUUUAGACCCUAGAGAACAACCUUUCAUAGAGAGUAAGACAUACUACUACCACAGUUGGCCUAAAAGCAGCCAUCAAUUAAGAAAGCGUUCAAGCUCAAUAUAAGACUACCCCUAAUUCCAUACAUACCACCGAACUCCUAAGACACAUUGGACCAAUCUAUUACUCAAUAGAAGCAACAAUGUUAGUAUAAGUAACAUGAAAACAUUCUCCACGCAUAAGCUUAUUUCAGACCGAAACAACUACUGUCAAUUAACAGCCUAAUUACUACACACUAUAACUUAAUAUAACUUUUACCCAAACUGUUAACCCAACACAGGUAUGCACUCAGGAAAGAUUAAAAGAAGUAAAAGGAACUCGGCAAA